CCACUCCCGGUCACCACGCGCCGUGCUGGGUGCUGGGGAUGUGACGAACAAACCCACAGAGGCUUUCAGGGAUGGCGCAUGAAGAGGAGACCGGCUCUGG